rnacentral:rRNA from 1 species
AAAGACCUCGCGUUAUUGGAGCGGCCGAUAUCUGAUUAGCUAGUUGGUGGGGUAAAGGCUCACCAAGGCGACGAUCAGUAGCUGGUCUGAGAGGAUGAUCAGCCACACUGGAACUGAGACACGGUCCAGACUCCUACGGGAGGCAGCAGUGGGGAAUUUUGGACAAUGGGCGCAAGCCUGAUCCAGCCAUUCCGCGUGAGUGAAGAAGGCCUUCGGGUUGUAAAGCUCUUUCGCAAGGGAAGAAACGAUACGAGCGAAUAACUCGUGUUAAUGACGGUACCUUGAUAAGAAGCACCGGCUAACUACGUGCCAGCAGCCGCGGUAAUACGUAGGGUGCGAGCGUUAAUCGGAAUUACUGGGCGUAAAGCGUGCGCAGGCGGUUUUGUAAGUCAGAAGUGAAAUCCCCGGGCUCAACCUGGGAACU